CCUACGGGAGGCUGCAGUGAGGAAUAUUGGGCAAUGGACGAGAGUCUGAACAAGCAAAGUAGCGUGAAGGAGGACUGCCCUAUGGGUUGUAAACUUCGGUUAUAAGGGAAUAAAAUGUGCCACGUGUGGGAUUUUGUAUGUACCAUAUGAAUAAGGAUCGGCUAACUCCGUGCCAGCAGCCGCGGUAAUACGGAGGAGCCGAGCGUUAUCCGGAUUUAUUGGGUGUAAAGGGAGCGUAGGUGGUUUGUUAAGUCAGUUGUGAAAGUUUGCGGCUCAACCGUCAAAUUGCAGUUGCAACUGGCAGUCUUGAGUACAGUAGAGGUGGGCGGAAUUCGUGGUGUAGCGGUGACAUGCUUAGCUAUCAC
rnacentral:rRNA from 1 species